rnacentral:misc_RNA from 1 species
GAUGAAGAACGUAGCGAAAUGCGAUAAGUAAUGCGAAUUGCAGAAUUUCCGUGAGUCAUCGAAUCUUUGAACGCACAUUGCGCCCACUGGUAUUCCGGUGGGCAUGCCUGUUCGAGCGUCAUUAUCCUCCCUCAAACCCCGGGUUUGGUGUUGGACCCAAGUUGUGUGAACAACUGGUCUCAAAGACAAUGACGGCGUCCGUGGGACCCUCGGUGCAACGAGCUUUUAUGAGCACGCAUCGAGUUGCAAGGACCUUCCGGGCCGGUCUCCUUUACCAUUUUACAAGGUUGACCUCGGAUCAGGUAGGAAUACCCGCUGAACUUAAGCAUAUCAAUAAGCGGAGGA